UACGUAGGGGGCUAGCGUUGUCCGGAAUCAUUGGGCGUAAAGCGCGUGUAGGCGGUCCGGCAAGUCUGCUGUGAAAGUCGGGGGCUCAACCCUCGAAUGCCGGUGGAUACUGUCGGGCUAGAGUGCGGAAGAGGCGAGUGGAAUUCCUGGUGUAGCGGUGAAAUGCGCAGAUAUCAGGAGGAACACCUAUUGCGAAGGCAGCUCGCUGGGACGUAACUGACGCUGAGACGCGAAAGCGUGGGGAGCAAACAGG
rnacentral:rRNA from 1 species